AUUGAACGCUGGCGGCAGGCCUAACACAUGCAAGUCGAGCGAGCGGCGGACGGGUGAGUAAUGUAUGGGGACUGCCCGAUAGAGGGGGAUAACUACUGGAAACGGUAGCUAAUACCGCAUAAUAUCGGCUAACCCAUAUGUGAUUAGCUAGUAGGUGAGGUAAUGGCUCACCUAGGCGCCGCUCCAUAGCUGGUCUGAGAGGAUGCACAGCCACACGGGGACGGAGACACGGCCCAUACUCCUACGGAGGCAUCAGUGGGGAAUAUUGCACAAUGGGCGCAAGCCUGAUGCAGCCAUGCCGCGUGUAUGAAGAAGGCCCUAGGGUUGUAAAGUACUUUCAGUCGGGAGGCGUUACCGACAGAAGAAGCACCGGCUAACUCCGUGCCAGCCGCCGCGGUAAUAC
rnacentral:rRNA from 1 species